GACGAACGCUGGCGGCGUGCUUAACACAUGCAAGUCGAACGGAAAGGCCCUGCUUUUGUGGGGUGCUCGAGUGGCGAACGGGUGAGUAACACGUGAGUAACCUGCCCUUGACUUUGGGAUAACUUCAGGAAACUGGGGCUAAUACCGGAUAGGAGCUCCUGCUGCAUGGUGGGGGUUGGAAAGUUUCGGCGGUUGGGGAUGGACUCGCGGCUUAUCAGCUUGUUGGUGGGGUAGUGGCUUACCAAGGCUUUGACGGGUAGCCGGCCUGAGAGGGUGAUCGGCCACAUUGGGACUGAGAUACGGCCCAGACUCCUACGGGAGGCAGCAGUGGGGAAUAUUGCACAAUGGGCGGAAGCCUGAUGCAGCAGCGCCGCGUGCGGGAUGACGGCCUUCGGGUUGUAAACCGCUUUCGCCUGUGACGAAGCGUGAGUGACGGUAAUGGGUAAAGAAGCACCGGCUAACUACGUG
rnacentral:rRNA from 1 species